rnacentral:SRP_RNA from 1 species
UUAAGGUAUGGUGGCACACACCUGUAAUCCUUUCUAUUGAGCAGGAUGAGAGGAGUGGAUGACUUGAGCUCCAGAGUUCUCAGUUGCAGUGGGCUAAGCCCAUCAAGGGUCCACACCAGUAUGGUGAACCCCUGCGAGCAGGGGGUCAUCUGUCUGCAUAAGGAGGGGCGAACUGACCCAGGUCAGAAAUGGAAUAGAUCCAAACAACUGUGCAGAUCAGUAGUGGCAUUGGGAUUAGGUGUGGCCACUGCACUUCCAGCCUCCAGAUGGAAAGACCCAGUUUCA